rnacentral:rRNA from 1 species
AUUGAACGCUGGCGGCAGGCCUAACACAUGCAAGUCGAGCGGGGUUUUCGGACCUAGCGGCGGACGGGUGAGUAAUGCGUAGGGAGCUGCCCGAUAGAGGGGGAUACCAGUUGGAAACGACUGUUAAUACCGCAUAAUGUCUACGGACCAAAGUGUGGGACCUUCGGGCCACAUGCUAUCGGAUGCGCCUACGUGGGAUUAGCUAGUUGGUGAGGUAAUGGCUCACCAAGGCGACGAUCUCUAGCUGGUUUGUGAGGAUGAUCAGCCACACUGGAACUGAGACACGGUCCAGACUCCUACGGGAGGCAGCAGUGGGGAAUAUUCGACAAUGGGCGCAAGCCUGAUCCAGCCAUGCCGCGUGUGUGAAGAAGGCCUUCGGGUUGUAAAGCACUUUCAGCGAGGAGGAAGGGGUGUGUGUUAAUAGUACACACCUUUGACGUUACUCGCAGAAGAAGCACCGGCUAACUCUGUGCCAGCAGCCGCAGUAAGAC